rnacentral:ncRNA from 1 species
UGAAACAAGUUGAGCAGAAAAGUAACUACCAGGCAAUCGCUCAGAGAGACAACGUUGGUGAGAGUUGUUCGAAAGGCCAGUAGUGAAAAUGAUCUGUGAUUGGCAAUGGUGAGUAGCAAGUCUAUCAGCCGUUGACGGAUUGGUCUACGUUACAAGACACGCGAAUCGGUAGCGCAUCAUAUCGCAUACUACCCGCUCGUUGUUAAGGCUUUAAAGUGCACACGUUUCUUUAAGGUGAAGUAGAAUGGUACCACGGACACCCGUUUCUAUU